UACGUAGGGGGCAAGCGUUGUCCGGAAUCAUUGGGCGUAAAGAGCGUGUAGGCGGCCAGAUAAGUCCGCUGUGAAAUCUCGAGGCUCAACUUCGAGCUGUCGGUGGAAACUGUCUGGCUAGAGUCCGGAAGAGGAGAAUGGAAUUCCUGGUGUAGCGGUGGAAUGCGCAGAUAUCAGGAGGAACACCAAUAGCGAAGGCAGCUCGCUGGGACGGUACUGACGCUAAGGCGCGAAAGCGUGGGGAGCCGAACAGG
rnacentral:rRNA from 1 species